CAGUAGCCACGGGAAUACAGAGGGUGCAAGCGUUAAUCGGAAUUACUGGGCGUAAAGCGCGCGUAGGUGGUUUGUUAAGUUGGAUGUGAAAGCCCCGGGCUCAACCUGGGAACUGCAUCCAAAACUGGCAAGCUAGAGUACGGUAGAGGGUGGUGGAAUUUCCUGUGUAGCGGUGAAAUGCGUAGAUAUAGGAAGGAACACCAGUGGCGAAGGCGACCACCUGGACUGAUACUGACACUGAGGUGCGAAAGCGUGGGGAGCAAACAGGAUUAGAGACCCGCGUAGUCCCUGUCUCUUAUCC
rnacentral:rRNA from 1 species